CAUGGAAUAGUUACCAUCCUAGAGAAGGUGCUAGAAGAUACAGGGGAAUGAUAAGAGUCAUCCAAGAAAGAAAUGUGUGUUUGUGUGUGUGUGUGUGUGAGUAUGUGUGUAUACUCGUGUGUGUAUGUAUGUAUACUCAUGCGUGUAUGUAUGUAUAUGCGUGUGUGGUGUGUGUGUAUGUAUGUAUACUCGUGUGUGUGUAUGUAUAUUCGUGUGUGUGUGUGUGUGUGUUUGUAUUUCUGACAUAUCCAUAUAUCCAGUUGAGUAUUUGCAGAGUGAUGUGAGCAUGACAUGGUUAAUGAUUAAAAUCCAAAUUAGGUUUCAUCAGGAAAAUUAAAAUAAUUUAAAAAAUAAUAAUACAACACAGCAAAUGGUCUGGCUGUGUUUCCUACUUUUAUUCAUAAUACUAAUUUAUAUCAUUAUAAAUUAUGUGUAAGGGUGUCUACCUUGUCAAGCCUAUGUUUGUAAAGAAGAAAGCAUUUUGUAUCUCACACCAAGAAACCAAUUCCACUGAAUUGUAUGUGAGUUAAUAUUCAAGGCAAAAAAGACCAAUUUAAAUCAAUACAUAAUUAACCUUGAUAUUAGAAUUGAGAAUGAAAGCCCAGUUUAGAGUGUUGAGCAUGAUUUUCUUAAUGAUAUGAACAGUGUGUUUAGUCUUUAUGAAGAAAAAAAUAAAGGGAAGAAACACUGGAUGGAAAGAGGAGAGAAGUAGGUAAAGGCAUUUCAGAAAUAUGGUUAAUUGGGUAAUUGGGGAUUGGGUGUCACUUGAACUUAAGCCUGUGGUUAAUUCAUGGCUUAUUCUUCAGGAAUGACAUUGGCAGAGCAGUUAUUGGAAUAAUGAAUUGCUCACUUGUCCUGGGCAAAUAGAAAAUUCCCCUGGUUGAAUAAAACAGUGGGAGGAGGCAUUUGAUAGGCUUAUAAUGGCUUAAGAGCCUGGGUUAGGGUUCUUCCCCUGACAGUCAGAAAAGAGAACUUUGGGGGAUUGGAUAUUUUCAGCAAAGGGGCAAAAUUAAGAAAGGAUUAUAAUCACCUUUUUUUUUUUUUUACGGGAAUUGACAUUGAUACUUAAAGCAUUUUCAAAAUGAACGUCAAAAACAGAGUUAAGCAGCAGAAUAUUAAGUCAAGGUAGGGGGCUGAUAUAAUAAGGAGUUUGAGGAAUUUUAGAGGAAAAGUAGUCGAUAUAAAGGCCAACUUAGUCAAGUGUCAAUUAUUCCCGUUUUAAAAAUAGAGUAGUGUAUACCCUUAUUCAUGGGGAAUACAUUCCAAGACCUCCAGUAGAUGCCUGAAACCUCAGAUCAUACCAAGUCUUAUACAUAUUAUGUUUUUCCUAUACAAAUAUACCUGUGCUAAAGCUUAACUUAUAAAUUAAGCACAGUAAGAGAUUAACAACAAUAAAAAAUAGAACAAUUAUAAUAAUAUACUCUAGUAGAAGUUAUUUGAAUGUUGUCUUUCUCCUCUCUCUCUCUCUCUCUCUCUCUCUCUCUCUCUCUCUCUCUCUCUCUCUCAAAAUAUCUUGUACUGGCUGGGCAUGGUGGCUCACACCUAUAACACCAACAAUUUGGGAGGCCAAAGUAGGAGGAUUGCUUGAGCCCAGGAGUUCAAGACUAGCCUGAAAAAAUAGUGAGACCAAUCGCUACAAAAAAUAUAUAUAUAUACAAAAAAUUAGCUGGGCAUGGUGGCAUGUGCCUGUGAUCCCAGCUACUCAGGAGGCUGAGGCUGGAGAAUCGGUUGAAUCAGGGAGGUUGAGGCUGCAGUGAGCCGUGAUCCUGCCACUGUACUCCAGCCUGGGUGAUAAAAUGAGACCCUACCUCAAAAAAAUUCACAACAAAACAAAAAAUAUACAAGCAAUAUCCUGUACAGUGCUCACUCUUCUUUUUCUUGUGAUGAUGAAAAAUGAUAAACCGUGUGUGCAAAGAGAUGACGUGAUGAAGCGGGACAGCUCAGGAUUUCAUCACACUACUCUGAAAGGCACAUAAUUUAAAACUUAUGAAUUGUUUAUUUCUGGAAUUUUCUAUUUAAUAUUUUUGAACCAUAGUUGACCACAGGUAACUGAAACCACAGAAAGCAAAACCACAGAUAAGUAGGGACUACUGUAAAAAGAGAAAUAGUUCCAUAAACUUUCAAUGUUAACUUUUUUAGCCCCAAAGUUUAGAAGAUUCAGAGGAGAAAGAUUUUCCCAGUCAAAAAGCUUCUGCCCAAACUCAGACUUUUCAGAUAUCUUGUUGAAGGCAAAUUUCCAUGUUAUUUCAAUGGCAAAUGGCAGACCCUUGGACCAACCACCAAAGAUACUCAAUUAUUUCCAUUAAUGCAGUGAAGGGACUAGAAAUUCAUUACCCAAAAUUCCCCCCAAAAAAAGACCUACAUUGGGAACUCUGAGGAUUUUGUUUGUUUGUUUGAUUUGUUUCUAAUAUGGCUUCGUGGCAUCUUGUGUUUCGGGGAUGAUGUAAACUAUAUCAUAAUCACUAUCAUUGUCAUUGUUGAUUCUCUUAGUCUUUUAGAGUGGACAAAAGGCUCUCGUCCAUGGGUCUACCCUCCCCUUCUCACCUACCAUUUUCUCCUCAUCCUCGUAUGUAAAUACUGAGAACCUACUCUAACCACAAAGCCAGUCAUUCAGGACCCAUUGCCUCAGGCUGGAUGCUGCAGUCUUUUGGAUGGAACCCAGGAAUCUGGAUUCCUAACUGGAACCCUGGAGGAUGGUUACACACGUCGAAGUUUGAGAACAUCCCUCUAUUCCACCCACCACAUUGCAUCACAUGGCAGAAUGAGAAAAGAUUGAUCUUUGAACAAUUCCCCAUUUUGAUUGGAUCAUCAAAAUCCUAUCUGCACAAUCCUCCAUGUCUAAACACACACUCCUAAAGGAAGCAAAGCAAAACAACAACAGCAAUAACAAAAAACAUGGCACUAGUAACUCAGAGUGGAAAACAUGACUCUGCUGUUCAGUGGUUAGAACCAGCUGGAUGCAAGAUCCUCUGGUCGGAUUUUAUGUGUGCCCAGCCUGUGAGCCUUAGGAAGGAGGUCAGUUGGUUUCUUUUUCUUGGCCAACUAGAUUGGAAACAAAACAAAACAAAAUAAAAUGCUGAUAUGCUGAGUUAUGACAAACUGAGACACAUGUCAUGAGAGGAAAAAUGACAGCUUUACUGCUGCAGUGAUUACAAAAAACACAGCAAAUUAACCACCAAUAUGGCUUUGUAUGUAGAGUGAAACAACUUUAUUGCACUGUAAAUUGGAGACCUAGAACAUAUUUUAGGAGUGUCACACCUGAAAAGCUGACGAUUUUCCCCAAAUUGCUAUUAAUAUUUUUUUAUUUUUAUUAGUUUUAUUUUCCACCCAACUGAAAGCUGAAACUAGAAUUAUUUUUCCUCCCUAGAAAAAUUUUAUUUUGUAGAGUUGGACAUUUUCUUUAUUACGUUGUCUCUGUAAGAGUUACUUAGCUAUAAUAAAACAGUCAUAUUUAUAACU
rnacentral:lncRNA from 1 species